UAAAAAGAGCGAAGAAAAAAUUUUUGAACACACGAAUUUUACACACAAACUGCACAACGCUUUAAGUGUUUUUCUAAUUUAAAUUCUGAUAAAUAACAAAUUUGAAUGCAUAAGCUCAAUAGACUAUUCCCUCUA